GAUCCUGCUCAGGAUGAACGCUAGCGACAGGCUUAACACAUGCAAGUCGAGGGGCAGCAUGGUCUUAGCUUACUAAGACUGAUGGCGACCGGCGCACGGGUGAGUAACACGUAUCCAACCUGCCGUCUACUCUUGGACAGCCUUCUGAAAGGAAGAUUAAUACAAGAUGGCAUCAUGAGUCCGCAUGUUCACAUGAUUAAAGGUAUUCCGGUAGACGAUGGGG
rnacentral:rRNA from 1 species